UGCCCACAAAAUGAGGUGGAAACUAAGCUGCACUUCCUAACCUCUUGCCAAAUGUAUGACCAUAUUAGAGGCACAGUGUGCCAUCACAACAGCAAGAUUUGUGACCUGUUGUCACAAGAAAAGGGCAACCACUGGAGAACGAACACCAUUGUAAAUACAACCCAUAUUAAUGUUUAUUUAUUUUCCCUUUUGUACUUGAACUAGAGAGAGAGAGAGAGAGAGAGCGAGAGAGAGAGAGAGAGAGAGAGAGAGAGAGAGAGAGAGAGAGAGAGAGAGAGAGAGAGAGAGAGCUGGCCCUGUCCCAUGAUCAUCACCAGAGUUGUGGACUCGAGUCACAAAUUUGCUGACUUUAGACUCAACUUGAUAGAAAAUAAAAUAACUUGAUACUUGACUUGGACUUGGUGCCUCAAGACUCGGGACUCGACUUUGACUUGAGACCGAUGACUUGAAAUGAUCUGACCAGGUUUUGUCACUGUUUGUGUCACAGAGUCUCGGUGGAUUACACUCCACGCCAUCAGAGACAGUAACCGCAGCAUGUGUCGUAAGACUCAUCACUAGUUAACACACCAACAGUCAUGAUCAUGGCUAAACCCUGCCCAAUUCUACAAUUCCUCCUGUUAAAAUAACCUUAACCUUAACCCUAACCUUAACCACACUGCUAACCUUAACCCUAACCUUAACCAUACUGCUAACCUUAACCCUAACCUUAACCACACUGCUAACCUUAACCCUAACCUUAACCAUACUGCUAACCUUAACCCUAACCUUAACCACACUGCUAACCUUAACCCUAACCUUAACCAUACUGCCAACCUUAACCCUAACCUUAACCACACAGCUAACCUUAUGCCUAACCUUAACCACACUGCCAACCUUAACCCUAACCUUAACCACACUGCUAACCUUAACCCUAACCUUAACCAAACUGCUAACCUUAACCCUNNNNNNNNNNAACAACAAGAUAAGGGAAUAAACAACAAGAGAAUAAACAACAAGAGAAGUGAAUCUCAUUUACAGGAAUUGGAAAUACGAAACAUCAAAUAGUUUUUUAAACCUUUCUGUUAGUGCUCCCUGUCCCUGGCAUGGUGUUGACCAACUCUUGAUUAAGUAGAGUUACAACACACCAUGUCAUGUUUCAAAACAUCUCAGGAUGAUGUUUCAAUACCCUAAGUUUGUGGCAGCUUAGUUGCCACUAGCUUUGUGUUUCAAAGCUUUUCCUUUGAACAGUGUAGCAUCCUCCCACAAUGUGCAGCACUCAAGCUUUCAGCCAAUCAGAACUCCCCAUCUGAUCCCAAUCCCUGNNNNNNNNNNGCCUAACCCUAACCCUAACCUUAACCACACUGCCAACCUUAACCCUAACCUUAACCACACGGCUAACCUUAUGCCUAACCUUAACCCUAACCUUAACCACACGGCUAACCUUAUGCCUAACCUUAACCCUAACCUUAACCACACGGCUAACCUUAUGCCUAACCUUAACCCUAACCUUAACCACACGGCUAAGCUUAUGCCUAACCUUAACCACACGGCUAACCUUAUGCCUAACCCUAACCUUAUGCCUAACCCUAAUCUUAAAUUAAGUUGAUUUUUUUCCCAAAUGUUUCUGUUACUGCCAGUUUUGAUGUUGUGACCGUGGAAUCUGAGUUUAUUGCUGUUAUCUAGUGGAAACCCUGUCCCAUAGAAGUUAGUGGAGGGGGAGGAGUUUCAGUACUUCCUCAGUGGUCAGAGUCAUGCUGCCCCUGACAUACACACAGUCUCUUCUCACAAACACACUCUUUCUCACACACUGUCACACACUCUUUCUCACACACUGUCACACACUCUUUCUCACACACUGUCACACACUCUCUCACGGCUGAAAUCACAGCUGUCCGUUGCUCUAUCCAAACACAGGAACAGGGACAGGAACAGAGUGACUGGGCUUUAGCCUGGCCGAUGGGGAAGUUUCCCUCACUGGGCAGUGAACAGACUGAGGACACACUGGGACUACUAUACUGGACUACUGCACCACUACCACCCUCAUGAGGAAUGAAGUGACAGGAGAGAACAGACAGCAGGACAGAGGUGAGACACACUCUUCUCUCUAACUAUCUGUCUGUAUUCAUUGAGUAUGUUUGAGUUCCACUUUGUCUUGAACUUAUGCUGUGUGUGUGUGUUAGUCCUACUCUCUCUCAAUUCAACUUAAUUCAGUUCAAAGGGCUUUAUUGGCAUGGGAAACAUGUUUACAUUGCCAAGCAAGUGAAAUAGGUAAUAGACAGUGAAAUAAAAAAUAAAAAAUGAACAGUAAACAUUACACUCACAAAAGUUUCUAAGGAAUAGAGACAUUUCAAAUGUUAUAUUAUGGCUUCAUACAAUUACAGUGGUCUCUCUCUCUCUCUGUCUCUCUCUCUGUCUCUCUCUCUCUAUGUCUCUCCCUCUCUCUCUCUCUCUCUCUCUCUCUCUCUCUCUCUCUCCUUCCCAUCUGAGGACAUAGCAAAUUAAAGAGAUCAAUGGAUAAUGUGUGAUCGUUAGACUAUGAUUUGCAGUAGAUACGUGUGUGUGUGUUUCUCUGUGAUAGCCACUAUACUGUAGUGAGGGGAUCUCUCAGCUGUAGUUCAGUCACAGGCACACAGGCGUGUGUUGUUCCAGGGGGUUAGGCUAAACAUAGAGCCCCCUGUCUGUCUCAUGUUACCCCUGUCCCUCACUUACACUCAUUUCACACACGCUUACCCCACAGCCUUACAGUUGAACCCAUAGCCCAGCUAUAUAGGUUUGAGGUUUAUGAAGGUUCUUAGGCUUCAUAAUGGCAUCAAAAGUUCUGUAACAAUGAUAUUCUAUUGAUCUCGAAUCCCAAUUAGAAUAAUGGUGCUAACGUGGAGGGCAGUUUAAAAUAACUCUGUGUCAGUUUUUCUGACUCUGCUCUUCUCCAUUGCUCCUCAUUGACAUCCAUGAACUGUUAACCUCUUGAGUAGUUUAGAACGUUUACUGUUCUGCUGGCAGCAACGUUCCAUUACAGAAUGCCACGGAAUGAGAAUGAGUUAGUGUGUCAUUGUGAUGUCAUCAAAUUGAAUGUAUUAGAACAUUUAGCAACGUACGGAAACACCUUACAUAAAUUCCGAAGCAUUUCUGCAAACGUAUCUUUGAAUGUAACAACGUCUAGCUAGAUCAACAGCAGCCAAGGUGUCUGGAGAGCAUUGUGACUUAGUCUGCAUUAUAAUCAGAUGAUUGAUUUGUUCUAUUAAAAUCCCCAGCAGAGCAUGAUCCAGUCUGUGACAUGAUGAUGAAGAUAUGGGUAUAAAUCCUCUGUUGGACAACAGUUUGUCAUUUCAACAUACUGUGCUCCAGCCUGUGUAAUGAGGAGCUCAGGAGCCUGCCUUCCAGGGGCCUCUCUAUUCCCUAUAGUGUAGUGCACUACUUUUGGUCAGGGCCGAUAGGGCUUUUGACCAGAUAGAGCUCUGGUCUAAAGUAGUGCACUACAUAGGGAAUAGGGUACCAUUUGGGAGUAAACCUGCUCUAUUAGAUUUCUCUGUAAUGUGUCUGUCGGUGUCUGGAAACAGAGUGUUGUUUCUCCUGUAAAGAGCCUCAGGCUGUUUACAGCUGUCUGACUCACAAGACACACUGAUUCAAUCAGGACAUGGCCUUCGUCCUAAAUUGCACCUUAUUCCCUAUAUAGUGCACUACUUUUGACCAAGACCCAUAAGGCUCUGGACAAAAGUAGUGUACUACAUAGGGAAUAGGGAGCCGUUUGGGACUCAAUCGUGGAUGCCUCAAUGGAGUGACCGGUGUUGUUUCUAGAGAAGGAGCAUCUUCGUCCUCGUUUUCUUCACUUUAGCAUGGAAAUACUGGAUGACAGAGAGAGGGAGAGAGAAGUGGAAAGUAGGCAAUGAGGGUUUGAUUAGUUAUGCCCUACCUACCCCAUUCCUUUCCCUGCACUGUUAAAAUAGAGAGACUCAAAAUACCAUCAUUGUGUACUGAAACCAUGAAAAGUAGUGCACCUAAGCUGUCUUUGAAUGUAAACCCCAAUGUGUGUUGAUACAUACAGUAGAAUGUGGUUUAAAACAGAGUAGAAGUACUCUGAAACAGUACUGUGGCAGACAUUUGAAUGAAUCACAAGGAACACUCUGGUAACAUUGGUAUUUAAGAGAGAGUUGUGAACUUGUGAAAACACCUUUUGAGGGUUUCAGAUCAUGUAAAAGGC
rnacentral:lncRNA from 13 species